AUUGAACGCUGGCGGCAGGCCUAACACAUGCAAGUCGAGCGGAUGAAGGGAGCUUGCUCCUGGAUUCAGCGGCGGACGGGUGAGUAAUGCCUAGGAAUCUGCCUGGUAGUGGGGGAUAACGUCCGGAAACGGGCGCUAAUACCGCAUACGUCCUGAGGGAGAAAGUGGGGGAUCUUCGGACCUCACGCUAUCAGAUGAGCCUAGGUCGGAUUAGCUAGUUGGUGGGGUAAAGGCCUACCAAGGCGACGAUCCGUAACUGGUCUGAGAGGAUGAUCAGUCACCCGGGAACUAGAAACCGGCCCAGACCCCUAGGGGGGGCAGAGGGGGGAAAUUUUGGAAAUGGGGGGAAAGCCUGAUCCAGCCAUGCCGGGGGUGUGAAGAAGGUCUUCGGAUUGUAAAGCAUUUUAAGUUGGGAGAAAGGGCAGUAAGUUAAUCCCUUGCUUUUUUGACGUUACCAACAAAAAAAGCACCGGCAAACUUGGU
rnacentral:rRNA from 1 species